GACGAACGCUGGCGGCGUGCCUAAUACAUGCAAGUAGAACGCUGAAGAGAGGAGCUUGCUCUUCUUGGAUGAGUUGCGAACGGGUGAGUAACGCGUAGGUAACCUGCCUGGUAGCGGGGGAUAACUAUUGGAAACGAUAGCUAAUACCGCAUGAUAUUAAUUGUCGCAUGAUAAUUAAUUGAAAGAUGCAAUUGCAUCACUACCAGAUGGACCUGCGUUGUAUUAGCUAGUUGGUGAGGUAACGGCUCACCAAGGCGACGAUACGUAGCCGACCUGAGAGGGUGAUCGGCCACACUGGGACUGAGACACGGCCCAGACUCCUACGGGAGGCAGCAGUAGGGAAUCUUCGGCAAUGGGGGGAACCCUGACCGAGCAACGCCGCGUGAGUGAAGAAGGUUUUCGGAUCGUAAAGCUCUGUUGUAAGAGAAGAACGGGUGUGAGAGUGGAAAGUUCACACUGAGACG
rnacentral:rRNA from 1 species